UAUGUUCUAUGUACUUUUUAAGUUUUUAUUAAUUUAUACCUAAUAUGAAUGGUAUAAUUUAUUUUUCAUAAUAUAUAAAAUAAAACAAUAAGAAAGACAUAUAUUACCACAACUUGAAAGGCCCAUUGUCGCUAACCCUAGGCUGCACUGGCGCCGUGAUUAUGCUACAGCCCUACCCUAUAAAUCGCCCGUCCUAAGGCUUUCCGUCUUCAUCCUUCCCCUUCAUUUAUAUCGGCUUGUGGUUCCAUCUUCCUUGCAGGAGUCGCAUGGCGCGGACGCUUAAUUGCUGCUCCGAUUCUGGUGUACUUCUUGAUCUGUAUGUUACUUUUGUGUAAACAUGAUUUAUUGCAAUUGUUUUUUCUCUCCAUAGAGGUGACGAUUCACUGUUAUUGGGGCGAGCAAUUGGAGUGCUUGUAUAACCCUUGUGUGUAAAAAUUGUCACAGAUCGAGCUUCCUUGUCGAUGCCUCUUCGAGGGGGAGUGGAUGAGGUGGUUCGUACCGUUUCUUCCACUUCUUCGGUCCGAAGGGAGCGAUCUCAUAUCCUGUCGUCUUGGAGAGCGGAUUCUCUGCAAUGACCUCUUGGGCCUGGCCAUGAGAAAUACAUACAUUCUCCUAUACAUGUUUAUAUUUGUGCGUUUUGUCUCUAGAAAUUUGAAAUUCAUUUCUAGCUAUUGAUUAAUUAUUUGGCCUGUGAAGAAAUAUUCCUUAAAAUUACACCAUCUUUCGGGACUGAAUGGCCGAAAGGCCUUGCUGUCAUUCUGCAAUUCUGAGGCCUUAUUGAGAGCAAAAUAUUUCUAAAUCCGUAGUUCGAUUUUGCUGUGAUUUUAAUUUUUAGUGUUUGUUAUAUCGUGUUGCAGAUUGUGAGAUAAAUAAGUUGUUUAUUUCGCUCGCAGCGUUUUUAUCCUGUAAUUGGGAUUUCUACAGCGGCGUGCUUAUGGACGGUCAAGUGCCGCUCCGCUCAGCUUAACUUACAGCAGCACUUAACAUUAAUACAUAAGCUAUAAUCACUAGCCACCUCAUCUUUUGAGUUUUUCCUAUAAUUAUCUUAGGGAAGGCUAUCCGCGUUGUGGCUGGGUUUAAGAGUUUUAGGGUUUUGAUCUGUUAUUUCUAUUAUAGUUGUUUGAUUGACUCCGGUGAGGAAGAAUUCCCAAAGAAUAGGAAGUGCCGUAUGACACUCCAAACUGCAGCGGUGGUUGUGCGAUUGCGCUCUGCCUGUCUUUUCCCAUCCACCUUUUGCCCAUGUUUUCGCCGUGAAAGCCUUGGUUCAACUGGUCGGGAAAGUUUGGGCUGCUCAGCUUUCGCACCACUGCUGUGUGUGUGAUUUGGAACGGGUCUCUGAGGAGUCGCAUGGCGCGGACGCUUAAUUGCUGCUCCGAUUCUGGUGUACUUCUUGAUCUGUAUGUUACUUUUGUGUAAACAUGAUUUAUUGCAAUUGUUUUUUCUCUCCAUAGAGGUGACGAUUCACUGUUAUUGGGGCGAGCAAUUGGAGUGCUUGUAUAACCCUUGUGUGUAAAAAUUGUCACAGAUCGAGCUUCCUUGUCGAUGCCUCUUCGAGGGGGAGUGGAUGAGGUGGUUCGUACCGUUUCUUCCACUUCUUCAGUCCGAAGGGAGCGAUCUCAUAUCCUGUCGUCUUGGAGAGCGGAUUCUCUGCAAUGACCUCUUGGGCCUGGCCAUGAGAAAUACAUACAUUCUCCUAUACAUGUUUAUAUUUGUGCGUUUUGUCUCUAGAAAUUUGAAAUUCAUUUCUAGCUAUUGAUUAAUUAUUUGGCCUGUGAAGAAAUAUUCCUUAAAAUUACACCAUCUUUCGGGACUGAAUGGCCGAAAGGCCUUGCUGUCAUUCUGCAAUUCUGAGGCCUUAUUGAGAGCAAAAUAUUUCUAAAUCCGUAGUUCGAUUUUGCUGUGAUUUUAAUUUUUAGUGUUUGUUAUAUCGUGUUGCAGAUUGUGAGAUAAAUAAGUUGUUUAUUUCGCUCGCAGCGUUUUUAUCCUGUAAUUGGGAUUUCUACAGCGGCGUGCUUAUGGACGGUCAAGUGCCGCUCCGCUCAGCUUAACUUACAGCAGCACUUAACAUUAAUACAUAAGCUAUAAUCACUAGCCACCUCAUCUUUUGAGUUUUUCCUAUAAUUAUCUUAGGGAAGGCUAUCCGCGUUGUGGCUGGGUUUAAGAGUUUUAGGGUUUUGAUCUGUUAUUUCUAUUGUAGUUGUUUGAUUGACUCCGGUGAGGAAGAAUUCCCAAAGAAUAGGAAGUGCCGUAUGACACUCCAAACUGCAGCGGUGGUUGUGCGAUUGCGCUCCGCCCGUCUUUUCCCAUCCACCUUUUGCCCAUGUUUUCGCCGUGAAAGCCUUGGUUCAACUGGUCGGGAAAGUUUGGGCUGCUCAGCUUUCGCACCACUGCUGUGUGUGUGAUUUGGAACGGGUCUCUGAGGAGUCGCAUGGCGCGGACGCUUAAUUGCUGCUCCGAUUCUGGUGUACUUCUUGAUCUGUAUGUUACUUUUGUGUAAACAUGAUUUAUUGCAAUUGUUUUUUCUCUCCAUAGAGGUGACGAUUCACUGUUAUUGGGGCGAGCAAUUGGAGUGCUUGUAUAACCCUUGUGUGUAAAAAUUGUCACAGAUCGAGCUUCCUUGUCGAUGCCUCUUCGAGGGGGAGUGGAUGAGGUGGUUCGUACCGUUUCUUCCACUUCUUCGGUCCGAAGGGAGCGAUCUCAUAUCCUGUCGUCUUGGAGAGCGGAUUCUCUGCAAUGACCUCUUGGGCCUGGCCAUGAGAAAUACAUACAUUCUCCUAUACAUGUUUAUAUUUGUGCGUUUUGUCUCUAGAAAUUUGAAAUUCAUUUCUAGCUAUUGAUUAAUUAUUUGGCCUGUGAAGAAAUAUUCCUUAAAAUUACACCAUCUUUCGGGACUGAAUGGCCGAAAGGCCUUGCUGUCAUUCUGCAAUUCUGAGGCCUUAUUGAGAGCAAAAUAUUUCUAAAUCCGUAGUUCGAUUUUGCUGUGAUUUUAAUUUUUAGUGUUUGUUAUAUCGUGUUGCAGAUUGUGAGAUAAAUAAGUUGUUUAUUUCGCUCGCAGCGUUUUUAUCCUGUAAUUGGGAUUUCUACAGCGGCGUGCUUAUGGACGGUCAAGUGCCGCUCCGCUCAGCUUAACUUACAGCAGCACUUAACAUUAAUACAUAAGCUAUAAUCACUAGCCACCUCAUCUUUUGAGUUUUUCCUAUAAUUAUCUUAGGGAAGGCUAUCCGCGUUGUGGCUGGGUUUAAGAGUUUUAGGGUUUUGAUCUGUUAUUUCUAUUGUAGUUGUUUGAUUGACUCCGGUGAGGAAGAAUUCCCAAAGAAUAGGAAGUGCCGUAUGACACUCCAAACUGCAGCGGUGGUUGUGCGAUUGCGCUCCGCCCGUCUUUUCCCAUCCACCUUUUGCCCAUGUUUUCGCCGUGAAAGCCUUGGUUCAACUGGUCGGGAAAGUUUGGGCUGCUCAGCUUUCGCACCACUGCUGUGUGUGUGAUUUGGAACGGGUCUCUGAGGAGUCGCAUGGCGCGGACGCUUAAUUGCUGCUCCGAUUCUGGUGUACUUCUUGAUCUGUAUGUUACUUUUGUGUAAACAUGAUUUAUUGCAAUUGUUUUUUCUCUCCAUAGAGGUGACGAUUCACUGUUAUUGGGGCGAGCAAUUGGAGUGCUUGUAUAACCCUUGUGUGUAAAAAUUGUCACAGAUCGAGCUUCCUUGUCGAUGCCUCUUCGAGGGGGAGUGGAUGAGGUGGUUCGUACCGUUUCUUCCACUUCUUCAGUCCGAAGGGAGCGAUCUCAUAUCCUGUCGUCUUGGAGAGCGGAUUCUCUGCGGUGACCUCUUGGGCCUGGCCAUGAGAAAUACAUACAUUCUCCUAUACGUGUUUAUAUUUGUGCGUUUUGUCUCUAGAAAUUUGAAAUUCAUUUCUAGCUAUUGAUUAAUUAUUUGGCCUGUGAAGAAAUAUUCCUUAAAAUUACACCAUCUUUCGGGACUGAAUGGCCGAAAGGCCUUGCUGUCAUUCUGCAAUUCUGAGGCCUUAUUGAGAGCAAAAUAUUUCUAAAUCCGUAGUUCGAUUUUGCUGUGAUUUUAAUUUUUAGUGUUUGUUAUAUCGUGUUGCAGAUUGUGAGAUAAAUAAGUUGUUUAUUUCGCUCGCAGCGUUUUUAUCCUGUAAUUGGGAUUUCUACAGCGGCGUGCUUAUGGACGGUCAAGUGCCGCUCCGCUCAGCUUAACUUACAGCAGCACUUAACAUUAAUACAUAAGCUAUAAUCACUAGCCACCUCAUCUUUUGAGUUUUUCCUAUAAUUAUCUUAGGGAAGGCUAUCCGUUUGUGGCUGGGUUUAAGAGUUUUAGGGUUUUGAUCUGUUAUUUCUAUUAUAGUUGUUUGAUUGACUCCGGUGAGGAAGAAUUCCCAAAGAAUAGGAAGUGCCGUAUGACACUCCAAACUGCAGCGGUGGUUGUGCGAUUGCGCUCUGCCUGUCUUUUCCCAUCCACCUUUUGCCCAUGUUUUCGCCGUGAAAGCCUUGGUUCAACUGGUCGGGAAAGUUUGGGCUGCUCAGCUUUCGCACCACUGCUGUGUGUGUGAUUUGGAACGGGUCUCUGAGGAGUCGCAUGGCGCGGACGCUUAAUUGCUGCUCCGAUUCUGGUGUACUUCUUGAUCUGUAUGUUACUUUUGUGUAAACAUGAUUUAUUGCAAUUGUUUUUUCUCUCCAUAGAGGUGACGAUUCACUGUUAUUGGGGCGAGCAAUUGGAGUGCUUGUAUAACCCUUGUGUGUAAAAAUUGUCACAGAUCGAGCUUCCUUGUCGAUGCCUCUUCGAGGGGGAGUGGAUGAGGUGGUUCGUACCGUUUCUUCCACUUCUUCAGUCCGAAGGGAGCGAUCUCAUAUCCUGUCGUCUUGGAGAGCGGAUUCUCUGCGGUGACCUCUUGGGCCUGGCCAUGAGAAAUACAUACAUUCUCCUAUACGUGUUUAUAUUUGUGCGUUUUGUCUCUAGAAAUUUGAAAUUCAUUUCUAGCUAUUGAUUAAUUAUUUGGCCUGUGAAGAAAUAUUCCUUAAAAUUACACCAUCUUUCGGGACUGAAUGGCCGAAAGGCCUUGCUGUCAUUCUGCAAUUCUGAGGCCUUAUUGAGAGCAAAAUAUUUCUAAAUCCGUAGUUCGAUUUUGCUGUGAUUUUAAUUUUUAGUGUUUGUUAUAUCGUGUUGCAGAUUGUGAGAUAAAUAAGUUGUUUAUUUCGCUCGCAGCGUUUUUAUCCUGUAAUUGGGAUUUCUACAGCGGCGUGCUUAUGGACGGUCAAGUGCCGCUCCGCUCAGCUUAACUUACAGCAGCACUUAACAUUAAUACAUAAGCUAUAAUCACUAGCCACCUCAUCUUUUGAGUUUUUCCUAUAAUUAUCUUAGGGAAGGCUAUCCGUUUGUGGCUGGGUUUAAGAGUUUUAGGGUUUUGAUCUGUUAUUUCUAUUAUAGUUGUUUGAUUGACUCCGGUGAGGAAGAAUUCCCAAAGAAUAGGAAGUGCCGUAUGACACUCCAAACUGCAGCGGUGGUUGUGCGAUUGCGCUCUGCCUGUCUUUUCCCAUCCACCUUUUGCCCAUGUUUUCGCCGUGAAAGCCUUGGUUCAACUGGUCGGGAAAGUUUGGGCUGCUCAGCUUUCGCACCACUGCUGUGUGUGUGAUUUGGAACGGGUCUCUGAGGAGUCGCAUGGCGCGGACGCUUAAUUGCUGCUCCGAUUCUGGUGUACUUCUUGAUCUGUAUGUUACUUUUGUGUAAACAUGAUUUAUUGCAAUUGUUUUUUCUCUCCAUAGAGGUGACGAUUCACUGUUAUUGGGGCGAGCAAUUGGAGUGCUUGUAUAACCCUUGUGUGUAAAAAUUGUCACAGAUCGAGCUUCCUUGUCGAUGCCUCUUCGAGGGGGAGUGGAUGAGGUGGUUCGUACUGUUUCUUCCACUUCUUCGGUCCGAAGGGAGCGAUCUCAUAUCCUGUCGUCUUGGAGAGCGGAUUCUCUGCGGUGACCUCUUGGGCCUGGCCAUGAGAAAUACAUACAUUCUCCUAUACGUGUUUAUAUUUGUGCAUUUUGUCUCUAGAAAUUUGAAAUUCAUUUCUAGCUAUUGAUUAAUUAUUUGGCCUGUGAUGAAAUAUUCCUUAAAAUUACACCAUCUUUCGGGACUGAAUGGCCGAAAGGCCUUGCUGUCAUUCUGCAAUUCUGAGGCCUUAUUGAGAGCAAAAUAUUUCUAAAUCCGUAAUUCGAUUUUGCUGUGAUUUUAAUUUUUAAUGUUUGUUAUAUCGUGUUGCAGAUUGUGAGCCAAAUAAGUUGUUUAUUUUGCUCGCAGCGUUUUUAUCCUAUAAUUGGGAUUUCUACAGCGGCUGAGUUUUUCCUAUAAUUAUCUUAGGGAAGGCUAUCCGCGUUGUGGCUAACAUUCUCUGGGUUUAAGAGUUUUAGGGUUUUGAUCUGUUAUUUCUAUUGUAGUUGUUUGAUUGUCUCCGGAAAGAAUAGGAAGUGCCGUAUGACACUCCAAGCUGCAGCGGUGGUUGUGCGAUUGCGCUCCGCCCGUCUUUUCCCAUCCACCUUUUGCCCAUGUUUUCGCCGUGAAAGCCUUGGUUCAACUGGUCGGGAAAGUUUGGGCUGCUCAGCUUUCGCACCACUGCUGUGUGUGUGAUUUGGAACGGGUCUCUGAGGUCAUUCUUCAUUUUUACUUUUCAAUUUCGGUGAUUCAUUAUGGAGUGUAGGAGAAAGGUUCGAUGCCACGUCGCCGAUAGCUUAUCGUAGCAGUGACCGGCGAUGCUAUGAUCGAACCGAAAUUGAUUCAAUUUCGCAUUAUAUAGGAACCUAUGAAUGGAUUCUCCAUUCCUUCAUAGAGCCGUUUUGUGUGAUUAUAUUUUAGCUUUAUUUUAUUUUAUUUGAGAAUAUGCCAGUGAGGAUUGAAAUUAAAAUAUCUGGAAUUACCGUCUGAAUUAACCAUUGAUGUCAGAUAGUCGAUCUGAGGCUUCUCUCUUAUUUUACAUAAAUUAUUACUCUGUAUUAUUACUUGCUAGACUUUUAAUUUGCUUUAAUGGCCCCAUAACAGCUUUAAAUCUGCAAGUGUAGGCUAAUCUCAGUUCUAAUAGAUGGGGGUGAAAUUAUUUUCUUAUUCCUCUUGUAUCCUAAUAUUGGUUGAAGAUGACAUUUUGAGCAGAGUAGACUUUAAGUGGUAAGAGCAUCUCCAAGGGAUGAGCAAAAAGGCAAAUGGCAUCACCAAAUCACCAUUCUUUCAUAUUUUCCAGCCCCAACCAGUGGCGAAUUGAAUGCCAAACUCCUAAAGACAUAGCAAAAAGGUAAAUGGCAUCUCUAUUCUUUCAUAUUUUUCAGCUCCAACUUGAGGCAAAUGACAAUUCCAAAAGAAAUAGCGGGAUAGGGUCUCCUUCGUAUCUGCCAUAUAUUGCCCUACAUUGUUUACACAUGGUGGAUAUUAGAGGGAUAUUUUUUUUCCUUUCUGCCCUUUAUCUUUGAUAUAAUCUCAAAUGUAUCUUUUAUUUGUUUUGAAAGUGUUUUUUAUUUUGUUAUAAAUACUGAAUUUUUAUUAUUAAUCAGUAAAUUUCCACAGAGAUUAAUUCGAACAA